CCCUGCCCCCGUAUGGAAUUACAGGACAUUUUCUAGAUGAAAAUAUUCAUUUUUGGAUAGCAAUAUGAAAAUAUUUUCAUUUUCGUUUAUAUUGUUGGUAAGAAGAUAAAAGUUAAAAAGCAAAGGUAAAAAUUAGAUCCUUACAGUGAGUCGGUUCGGUUACUCGCUGUGGGCCCUAUAAAAUCCCCAUUCAACCGUGGCCUCCAAGAAAUGCUCUCUGCAACUAAAAACUGAGCGACUGUGAGAGAGAAAUAUGGUGCUGGAUAUCACCGUCGAGCGCGACCCCGACAUCAACGACAUCGGCACGGACGCCUACACCAUCCACGUGGAGUCCCAUCGCAUCCUGACAGUCGCUGCCGAGUCGACAACACGCGCGGGUGGCUCAGGAAGAAAGAUCCGCCGUACGACAUGCUCUGCAUCACCAUCGGAUGCCACUGCCUCAUCUACGAGUACUUUGACGACAAACCCGCUGGCUUACUAGUCUCCUUCCUUGCAAACCCUAGGGUUUUCGCCGUGGGCCGCGACAUGGCCAAUCUGUGCAGGAAGCUCAAGGCGGACCACGGCAUCGAGAUCCGGAACGCCGUCGACGUCAACGAUCUGGCGGUCAGGGGGCUGGGGAGGGACGACCUGGAUCUCGGCCGCUAAGGCCUGGACCGGCUCGCGAAGGCCGUGCUGGGAAAGAAAAUGGACGUGGUUAGGCCUGAGGAGGAGCUCUUUUGGCACGGCGAGUAUGACUCUUUUUGGAGCAUGAAUUGUGAGGUGGUCAAGUUCUAUACUGUUGAUUUGUAUCUGUGCUACUUGAUCGGUUUGGAGUUGAUCGACGCCAUUGACGGUGCUGCUGACCUUAAGAAGAAGAAGAAGAAGAAGAAGAAGAAGAAAAACAAGAAAGACAAGUAGGUAAACUCACCAUCUAGCAAAGAUCGAUUGAGAGCCACUGGUCUCAGUCUCUUUCUUGACGUACGUACGGACUAUUAUCCUUGUGUUGAUUUCGCAGUCUGCUGUUUUGUUUAGCUAAUUUGAGCUCGUGAAUUAGGGUUCCUAAUUGAUUGUUAUUUGCUUUUAUUUCCCCAAAAUUUAGCUUGAGAGUUGGUAUCGUACUGGAAUCUGUUCAGUGUUUGUUCAUGUUUACUUUUACAGAGAAAAGUAUCGGAAUCACUUGGAUUUUCUUCUUUCAUUUUUUUUCUCGGGCUUUCUCGGGAAACAAACAGAUGAUAACAAUAUUAGUUAGCUGAUAUUCAGUUAAGCUGUCACCUGUGUUGUUAGUUAGUAUUACCUGUAAUUAGUUAUUGUUAAGUCGUGCAUAAGAAUUUGUAAUUUCCUUCCUCUUGAGUCUUUCAGCAAUGUACUAGUGCUUCGCUGUAAUUUUUCCGAAAACGGUGGGCUGUAGUAAUUCUUUUCCUCUCUUUUUCCGGUGGUAUCACUGUGCGCUGCAUGCUCGCCGUACGCGGCAAAGUGCUCGACUCCUGGCUAUGAACGACACGUGUUGUUCAUUUUCGUUGAUGCAGUUUGUUAUUAUCGUUUCAUUAAUUGAUUAGCAUGGUAUAAAAAUAAAUAAAAUAUAUACGAUGCGAUUUAAGUUGAAUAUAAGUAGAGCAUUUUUCUUAGAGUAAUGCUAUUUAGACACACAACAUUGAUCACCUUAACCGACCACCUUAUGUGGUAAUUGAUGUGUCAUGCCAUAUCAAUUAAUGAAUGUCGUCAUGUCAAUUAAAAAACAAAUUCAAAAACCCUAGCAUUCCUAGUGAGUGGUCUCAUGGCAACAUUCAUUAAUUGACAUGGCAUGACACAUCAGUUGUCACAUAAGGUAGUCAGUUAAGGUGGUCAAUGUUGUGUGUCUAAAUAGCAUUACUCUUUUUCUUAAAAGGAAAAUAUGAAUUUUUUUUUUUUUUUUGAGCAAAUGUGAUAUAAUUUUCAAAUGGGUAAGCCUUAGUCUUGAACCAUGGACGAGAAGCAAGGUCUCUACUACAUUCUAUCCAGUGGCGGAGCCAAUCCUAGUGGCCCUGGCCCAUAUUUUUUUAUCUCCUCUAUUAUAUUAUAUAUAACAUAUAGAAUUUGUAAUGAAAAAAACUUAUGAUUUAAGUUAUAGUUCCCUUUAAAACAAAUUAGACAUUAUUAAAUUAUAAAUAUUUAGCUUUAAACAUAUAAUUAUUGAAUACUUAGAUGUUUUAUAUAUUUGUAUCUACUUCGGCCUUCCUAACUUUCCAAUUCUAGCUCUGUCCCGGAUUCUAUCGUAUCAUAAGGCGAGUUAUUGUUUGAUAUUUUCAGUCUGCCAUGGGCAUAUAAUAGUUGAUGAACGAUUUUAGAAUGAAAUCGAGUAUCUUUGGAUUCUGAAUUAGGUUUUUUUAUAAAUUAUAUAUAUAUAUAAAUUGCUAUCUGUAUUGUUGGUAAUAAUGCGAAACCCAUUAUGCCCUCAAAAUCAAUAACAUGAGUUUGCUAUCGAAAUGCUGGAUUUGGUGGAUUGCAAAAUCAUACACAAAUGCGAAGUUUAUUUCCCAAUGCAUCUAUAUAUAUAGAGCAAAAGGCAGAGAAUAGUGAAAUAUUCAAAAUACCAUAAAAUUCUCUUGGUUAAUUCAAACAUUAAGAAUUGAAAUUAUUAAUUAAAUGAGGAUAAUACGGUAAAUUCAUAUUUUUUUCAUAUUAAAAUAAAUUAAAAUUAAAAACAAAAUCAGAUAAUAGGUUAUACUUUUAUCUAUAUAUAUAAAGCAAAAGGCAGAGAAUGGUGAAACAUUCAAAAUACUAGAAAAUGCCCUUGGUUAAUGCAAACAUUAAGAAUUCAAAUUAUUAAUUAAAUGAGGAUAAUAUGGUAAAUUCACACUUUUUCAUAUUUAAAAAAAUUAAAAGAAAAAGAAAAAGCAGAUAAUAGAUCCUAUUUUUAUGGAACACAACUACCCAUUAUCUUUUUUAAUUCUAAAAUAAAUUUACUUAUUUUUUUAAAAAAACCUCUCGCAAGCGCGGGAAGCGCGUGCAGAGAGGCUAGUAGAACAUAACUAUCCAUGAUAAUCUUUUCUUAAUAUCUAAAGAAUAAAAUAAAAAAAUAAAAUCAAUUUGGCAAAUGUGUGGAGCGUGUGCCAAGGGGGUAGUGAUAAUUAAGAAAAAUCUUACACCUCUUUUUUCUUUUUUUUUUAUCUUUUACUAGCCUCUCUGCACGCGCUUCCGCGCAUGUGAGAGGUUUUUUUUUUUAAAAAUUUAAAUUUAUUUUAGAAUUAAAAAAGAUAAUGGAUAUUUGUGUUCCAUAAAAAUAGGAUCCAUUAUCUGAAUUUUCUUUUAAUUUUAAUUUUUUUAAUACGAAAAAUUAUGAAUUUACCAUAUUAUCCUCAUUUAAUUAAUAAUUUCAAUUCUUAAUGUUUGCAUUGACCAAGGGCAUUUUCUGGUAUUUUGAAUGUUUCACCAUUCUCUGUCUUUUGCUUUAUAUAUAUAGAUAAAAGCAUCCUCGAUUUAUACUUUUUCCUUACCCCAAAAAAAAAAAAAAGAGUUUUCAAUAAUAACGUCGUAAAUAAAAAAUAAUAAUGAAAAUGAUUAGCUUACAUUAAAAAAUUUCUUACUUCAGUAUAUGUUUGGUUACACAAGUGAAAGGUUUAACGCUUUCCUCACCAACAUUUGGGGGGAAAAAAAAAAUUAAAAAAUCUGAAGAUAUUGGGUUAUAUUGUAAUUUUACAAUCAAGAAAUUAAAAAAGUAGAGGCAAAACAUAUAUAUAUACGUGACAGUAAGUCACAUUGAGUCAAUGACUCGCUCUGAGCUUUCCUAUAUAUGUGCGUCACAUCAUUUCACCGUACUCUGCAAUUGAAAAAACUGAGCGAGCGAGUGUGAGAGAAAGAGCCACAACCAUGGUGCUCCAAAUCACCGUCGAGCGCGACUACACCAUCGAAGACAGCAGAACCGACGCGUACACCGUCCACGUCCAAUCCCACCGCAUCCUGACCGUCUUCACCCCGCUCCGACUUAAUCGCCACCAAAUGGCUCAAGCAAGCGCUCAAGUCCUCCCUCACCAAAACCACCGUUCUCGUCGGCGUCUCGGCUGAGACGGACUACCCUUGGGGGUACAGGUGCAAUGAGGACGUGCCGUACGACAUCCUCUGCCUCAACAUCGGCUCCCAGUCCCUCAUCUACGGCUUCCCUUACGACCGUGACAAACCAGCACGCUUCCUCCUCUCCUUCUUCCAAGACCCUAGGGUUUUCGCCAUCGGCCAAGGCAUGGCCGAGCUCUCCAGGAAGCUCAAGCUUCAUCACCGGAUCUAGAUCCAGAACGCCUUCGACGUCAACCAUCUGGCGGUCAAGGGGCUGAAGAGAGACGACCUGGAUCUCGGCCGGUUCGGCCUGGACCGGCUUGUGAAGGCCGUUCUCGGGAAGCGAAUGGACGUGUUUAGGCCUGAGGAGGAGGUCGAAUGGUACGCCGGGGAUAGUUGGAGCCUCCGGAGCCAGAAGGUCAAAUUCUGUACUGUUGAUAUCUAUCUGUGCUUCUUGAUCGGAUUGGAGUUGAUCGAUUCCAUUGACGGUGCUGUUGGCCCUAAGAAGAAGAAGAAGAACAAGUAGCUAAAAUGGUUAUCUAGCUAUGAGCGAUGGAGAGCCACUGAUCUGAGCCUAUCUCUCAGUACGUAACGUACGGACUAUUAUCCCUCUGUCGAUUUCGUGGUCUGUUGUUUUGUGUUUAGCUAAUAAUUUUAGUAGUGGAUUAGGGUUCCUAAAUGCCAGUUAAUCACUCUGAAUCUCAAUGUUGUUGUUACUGAUUAGCUGUGAUUUUCCCCAAAAAUAUGUAGCUUAAGAGUCGAUGAAGUACUCAUCAAUAUGCUUGCUCAAUGUUGUUCUUUGAAUCUGUGUUUUGUGUGAUAUUCGGAUAUUUCUCAUAUAUUAGUAAUAUUUUCAUGUUGAUGUGACGGUGAAGAGGUAUUCAGAGACCUGGAUCUUCUUUGAUUUUUCUCGCGUUUUCUCGGGAAACAAACAGGGGCCUAGAAUUGCUUCCUCAGCAAGUUUAGUGGUUAUAGUACUGCACAGCUGUAAUUUUUGCCAAAAUGAUUGCUGCAGUAAUUUUUGACCCUUUUCCUUUUCUGCUAAAAGAGUCAGUAGUCUCUGCAGUUCAUUUGCAGCGAGACGUGGGUUGCAUGCGCUGUGCUUUACAUGCUACGCGCCAAAACGCGUGGCUUUUUCCACGACUUCGUUUUGGUUGAUGCGUGCGUGGUUGGUCUCGUUCCAUUAAUAAUCGGUUAGAGGAUAUGCCUGGUAUAAAAAGACAAGGAUAUAAGAUGGGUUUUUUUUUUUGGGUUGAGAAAGUAUGAGAUGGAAUUUAAGUUGAAUAUAGUUCAUUUAUCUUUUAAAAAACAUGAUAUUAUUAUUUCAUUUGACCAAGAAAUGCUAUGAAUUUCAAAUAGGAUUUCUAUUUGUUUUUACUUAGAACUAGCCUUUUCGCAUGUGCUUCUGCUCUUGCGAGAAGUUUUUUUUAAAAAAUUUAAAUUUAUUUUAGAAUUAAAAAAGAUAAUAGGUGGUUAUGUUCCAUAAAAAUAGGAUUCAUUAUCUUAUUUUAAUUUGAAAAUUUCUAAGUUUAUCAUAUUAUUAUCAUUUAAUUAAUAAUUUCAAUUUUUAAUGUUUGCAUUAACCAGUGACAUUUUUUAAUAUAUAUAUAUAUAAAGCAAAAGGCAGAGAAUGGUGAAACAUUCCAAAUACUAGAAAAUGCCCUUGGUUAAUGCAAACAUUAAGAAUUCAAAUUAUUAAUUAAAUGAGGAUAAUACGGUAAAUUCACACUUUUUCAUAUUUAAAAAAAGAAAAAGAAAAAGAAAAAGAAAAAGAAAAAGCAGAUAAUGGAUCCUAUUUUUAUGGAGAGGCUAAUAUUUUAAAUGUUUCAUCAUUAUCUGCAUUUUACUUUCUUUUUUUUUUAAAAUCAAACUCUUCCUUUUGCUUUAUAUAUAUAGAUUUAGGCGGACCAUGUCAACACCCAGAGCAGUUAGCCUUUCCAACAAAAGAAAAAAGAAAAAGGAAAAAAGAAAAAGAGAUGUUAGUUUUGAAUAGAAAAUGGGCCUUUCUGGACAAAAAACGGUUGUCUCACUCACAUUUGUGAUAUCAUGUCAAUGACACGUCACACAUGAGCCAUAUGUCUGAGAGAUUCUACCCGUACAUCUCAAGUUCAUUAUGCCCUCAAAAUCAAUAAUAUGAGUCUCAUAAUGAAAUGUUUGAUUUUGUCGGCAUGCACCUAAAAAUUUGAAAAGUGCCCAAUACCCAAAUUAAUACAAAAUUCCUACUUUUUCGCAUAGGACAUGAUAAUGGAAAAAAAAAAAAAAAAAAGCCUUCUAAAUACAUCGAAGAAAUUGGACACAAGUAAUAGCUAUUUAAAUUUAAAUGAACUAACUUUAGGUGUAGUGGUACUUUAUUUUUUUUUUCCAAAUUCCAAUAUUAGAAAAGGUCCCAAAUUGGAACCCCCGUCCUCUGUUGAUCAAAUAAAAAAUGAAGAUUUUUUUUAACACAAACGAUGAAAUGAGAAUUUCUCACACACACCCAAGAGUAAAAAGUUCAGAAAUUGUAUUUGAUGUUGAUUGCAUUAAUCAAAUUCCUCUAAUUGAAGUAGCAAUUCCAGCACUCUCGUUUCAGCAAGUUGCGCUCUAAAGUGAAUAUUUUAUAGUACUCAUAAGAGAAGUACACGAGGUUAAAAAGGGAGUGUUUAAAUCACUAACCUAAUUUGGAACUCCUAUCAUUAAUUAGUUUUAAUUAUGCCCAAAGGAAGAGUAAUCUUCAUAAAACAAGUCUUAGUAAUUAUAAUUUGGUUAAUGUAGAAAAAGAAAAAUCUGGUAGAAAGAAUGUGUGAUUAGCUUUUAAUUUUUCUCAAGAAACAGUUGGAAAAUUUUAAGUUGGGACCUGAAGAUUGAUCUGUAAAUUUUUACUGUCAAGAAAUGGAAAAAGUAAGGUAAAUGCGUAACACAGUAACUUCCAGUGGGCUUCCUCUAUAUAAAGUCCCAUCGAUGGACCGAUGUCACCAAGAUAUUUUCUCUGCAACAAAAAACUGAGAUAGUGUGUGAGAGAAGAAAGAGAAAGGAGAGAAGAGAGAGUGAGAGAGCCACAACAAUGGUGCUUGAGAUCACCGUCGAGCGCGACUACACCAUCGAAGACCCCAAAACGGACGCCUACACCGUCCGCGUGGACACCCAGCGCAUCCUGACCGUCGUUACCCACUCCGAGUCCAUCGUCACCAAAUGGCUCAAGGACGCCCUCAAGUCCUCCAUCAAAUCUGCCGUUCUCGUCGGCAUCACGGCCGAGACCGAGAAUAGGUGGUGCUGGCACGAAAAGGACAGGCACAAGGAGUAUCCGUACGACUUUCUCUGCCUCAACAUCGGGGCCCAAUCCCUCGUCUACGAGACGUGGGAGACAUAUUUCAGAGGCAGACACUCGCUCGUCUCCUUCCUCGAAAACCCUAGGGUUUUCGUCAUCGGCCGCGAAAUGGCCAAUAUCUCCAGGAAGCUCAAGGUUCACCACGGCAUCGAGAUCCGGAACGCCGUCGACGUCAACGAUCUCGCGAUCAGGGGGCUGAGGAGGGACGACCUGGAUCUUGGCCGGUACGAUCUAGAUCAGCUCGCCAGGGCCGUGCUCGGGAAGCAAAUGGACUUGGCUAGGCCUGAGGACGAUUUCUACUGGAAAUAUAGGGACGAUGAGUUCCAUCGUUGGACCCAGUGCGACGAGCUGAAGUUAUUC
rnacentral:lncRNA from 1 species